GGUGGUAUAGUGUAGUGGUUAUCACUCGAGAUUUUGAAAGUAGCCUGGGGACUUGAACCUGGGUAUUACAUAAGCGUUUCUCGGAACCCAGGUUCGAGCCCUGGUACUACCU
rnacentral:tRNA from 1 species